GACAGAGGGUGCAAACGUUGUUCGGAAUUACUGGGCGUAAAGCGCGUGUAGGCGGCAAGCCAAGUCGGGUGUGAAAGCCCUGGGCUCAACCCAGGAAGUGCAUUCGAUACUGGCAAGCUAGAGUCCCGGAGAGGAUGGUGGAACUCUCGGUGUAGAGGUGAAAUUCGUAGAUAUCGAGAAGAACACCGGUGGCGAAGGCGGCCAUCUGGACGGUGACUGACGCUGAGACGCGAAAGCGUGGGGAGCGAACAGG
rnacentral:rRNA from 1 species